rnacentral:rRNA from 1 species
UACGUAGGGUGCGAGCGUUAAUCGGAAUUACUGGGCGUAAAGCGUGCGCAGGCGGUUGUGCAAGACCGAUGUGAAAUCCCCGGGCUUAACCUGGGAAUGGCAUUGGUGACUGCACGGCUAGAGUGUGUCAGAGGGGGGUAGAAUUCCACGUGUAGCAGUGAAAUGCGUAGAAAUGUGGAGGAAUACCGAUGGCGAAGGCAGCCCCCUGGGAUAACACUGACGCUCAUGCACGAAAGCGUGGGGAGCAAACAGG